CGGGGCCACACCUGGUCCCUUUCCGAACCCAGAAGUUAAGCCCGCCUACGUUCUUCGUGGUACUGAGGUGCGCGAGCCCUCGGGAAGCCCAAGG
rnacentral:rRNA from 1 species